AUUGAACGCUGGCGGCAGGCCUAACACAUGCAAGUCGAGCGGAGCGGCGGACGGGCGAGUAAUGCCGAGGAGUCUGCGUGGUAGUCGGGGAUAACGUCCGGACACGUGCGCAAGUCCCGCAUACUAUUGGACGAGCCGAGGUCGGAUUGGCUAGUUGGUGGGGUAAAGGCCUACCAAGGCGACGAUCCGUAACUGGUCUGAGAGGAUGAUCAGUCACACUGGAACUGAGACACGGUCCAGACUCCUACGGGAGGCAGCAGUGGGGAAUAUUGGACAAUGGGCGAAAGCCUGAUCCAGCCAUGCCGCGUGUGUGAAGAAGGUCUUCGGAUUGUAAAGCACUUUAAGUUGGGAGGCGUUACCAGCAGAAUAAGCACCGGCUAACUUCGUGCCAGCAGCCGCGGUAAUUC
rnacentral:rRNA from 1 species